UAACUUGCAUCCAGUUUAAUCCUGUUGAUGAUAAUUACUUCAUUAGCGGAUCCUUGGAUGCUAAGGUUCGCAUAUGGAGCAUUCCUGAUAGGCAGGUUGUUGAUUGGACUGAUAUGCAUGAGAUGGUUGCUGCUGCUUGUUAUACACCUGAUGGUCAGAGUGCACUGGUUUGUUCUUACAAGGGCAGUUGCCACUUAUAUAACACAUCAGGGCAAUUGGCAAAGUACAGGUUUCUGAAGUUGGUGACAUUCUCCUUAUUUACUGAACACUGAAUGCUGAUGAUUUGGACGCAAUGUGGGUUUGCUUAAGAGAAAAUUGUGUAAUAGAUGAUGCUACUGGCUUGGGUUUCCAUGCUAAAAGCUGCCCAAA